rnacentral:rRNA from 16 species
GUCGAGCAGGUACGAAAGUAGGACAUAGUGAUCCGGUGGUUCUGUAUGGAAGGGCCAUCGCUCAACGGAUAAAAGGUACUCUGGGGAUAACAGGCUGAUACCGCCCAAGAGUUCAUAUCGACGGCGGUGUUUGGCACCUCGAUGUCGGCUCAUCUCAUCCUAGGGCUGAAGCAGGUCCUAAGGGUAUGGCUGUUCGCCAUUUAAAGAGGUACGUGAGCUGGGUUUAAAACGUCGUGAGACAGUUCGGUCCCUAUCUACCGUGGGCGUUGGAAAUUUGAGAGGAUCUGCUCCUAGUACGAGAGGACCAGAGUGGACGAACCUCUGGUGUUCGGGUUGUCACGCCAGUGGCAUUGCCGGGUAGCUAAGUUCGGAAGAGAUAACCGCUGAAAGCAUCUAAGCGGGAAGCCUGCUUCGAGAUGAGAUUUCCAUGCACCUUGAGUGUGAGAGGCCCCCAGCUAGACCACUGGGUUGAUAGGCAGGAUGUGGAAGC